CACUUUGGGAAGCCAAGGCAGGAAGACAGCUUGAAAUCAAGAAUUCAAGACCAGCCUGAGAAACACAGUGUGAGACCCUGCCUCUACAGAAAACAAAAAUAAAUUAGCCGGGCAUGGUGAUGUGUGCUUGUAGUCCCAGCUACUCAGGAGGCUGAGGCAGGAGGAUCACUUGAGCCCAGGAGUUCAAAGUUGCAGUGAGCCAUGAUCAUCCCACUGUACUCCAGUCUGGACAAUAAAGCAACACCCUAUCCCUAAGAAAAAAAAUCUCUGGGGGUGGGAUCCAAGCAACAACAAGUUUGAAAACUCCCCAGGUGUUUCCAUGCUUCUGCACUCAUCUGAUCUUCACAACAGGGAUUCUUUAUGCCCAGAAACUCCUUUGGGAGGGCUCUGAGGUGGCCACAAAAUAAAACUCUCUGGCAGUGGCAGACCUUUAAAGAUGUUCCAUCUGCUGACUGUCCCAUCACCCCAAGCCAACCCCUUACCAUCAUCCCUGAUUCCUUUCUCCAUCUCAAAGUCUGUACCAGCCAUCAGGUCUUGCCAGGGGUCCCUCCUGAACACGUCUCGAAGGUACUUUUAUUUCUCCGUCUUUGUGCCCUUUGA
rnacentral:lncRNA from 1 species